AGGCCAGUACGGCGAGUGAAGCGGCAACAGCUCAAAUUUGAAAUCUGGCCGCAAGGUCCGAGUUGUAAUUUGCAGAGGAUGCUUUUGGCGAGGUGCCUUCCGAGUUCCCUGGAACGGGACGCCAUAGAGGGUGAGAGCCCCGUACGGUUGGACCACCGAGCCUCUGUAAAGCUCCUUCGACGAGUCGAGUAGUUUGGGAAUGCUGCUCUAAAUGGGAGGUGUACGUCUUCUAAAGCUAAAUACCGGCCAGAGACCGAUAGCGCACAAGUAGAGUGAUCGAAAGAUGAAAAGCACUUUGAAAAGAGGGUUAAAAAGUACGUGAAAUUGUUGAAAGGGAAGCGUUUAUGACCAGACUUGGGCUUGGUUGAACAUCCGGCGUUCUCGCCGGUGCACUCUGCCAGUCCAGGCCAGCAUCAGUUUGUCCCGGGGGAUAAAGGCGGUGGGAAUGUGGCUCCCCCGGGAGUGUUAUAGCCCGCCGUGCAAUGCCCUGGGACGGACUGAGGAACGCGCUUCGGCACGGAUGCUGGCGUAAUGGUCAUCAACGACCCGUCUUGAACCCACGGACCA
rnacentral:rRNA from 1 species